rnacentral:rRNA from 1 species
GUUUAUAGCAUGCCACCAUGAAUGCACAUGAUCGCCUCUGCUCUCAGAAGCUAAGCUGGAUCAGGCCUGGUUCAGAGUUGGAUGGGAAAAGUCUGAUGGUUAAAGGCA